AGUAGCUCAUUUCGUUGAGAACUAAAAAAGAGUUAUCGGAUAACAAGAAGAACCCCAAAGAGAAAAUUAAGAGAUGGCUUCCUUGAUGUCUUCCUCCGGCGUCUCCACCGUCGGCAGAACCGCCGCAGUUCAGGCUAGCUUGGUCGCACCAUUCAAGUCCUCCUCCUCCGCCUUCCCGGUCACCAAGAGGUCCUCCAACCGUUCUACCAUCCCAAGCAACGGCAGCAGAGUCCAGUGCAUGAAGGUUGGUUUACUGAAAUGCCCUUUCCCAUUUUGUAGUAACAUUUUGAAUGAACAUAGAACCAUAUAUGAACCAAUUGGUGAAAAUGUAUGUGUAUAGGUGUGGCCACCAGUUGGGUUGAAGAAGUACGAAACGCUGUCGUACCUUCCCCCAUUGUCUGAGGAGUCUUUGGCUAAGGAGGUUGACUACCUACUCCGCAUGGGAUGGGUUCCUUGCUUGGAAUUCGAGUUGGAGGUAACUUUUUAAUGUGACAUUUUCGCUCUACGGUCUAACUCACUUUCACAUAUAAAAUUAUUUUGAAAUAUAGGUAGAGUGAUAUAUUUUAUAUAUUGUAGUUUAGUGUACAAUUUGAUUCAGUGUAUUAAAUCGUCAUGGAUCUGUCGUUGGAUAGGAUUUGAAAAAUGUAUCUUCUGUAGCUCUUUAAUACAAUCUCUAACGGAUGUGAAUGAAUUUUGAAGGUUUUUUGCCAAAAUUGGAUAUGACAUUUUGCUAGUAAAAUAUAUAUACUUUUAAUAUAAUUUUGUGAAAAAGCAUUGUUUUUUGAAAAAUGAAAUAUAUUGUUGGUCUUUUUAAUAAUGACUUGGAUACCUGACCAAACAUACGAUAUACAAUAUUUUCUAUUGUACUAAUAUAGUAAUAUUCAUAUUUGGAUUAUUAAAAAAACACUCAUCUUUUGAAUUUUCCCUCUCAAUUUUUCGUGCGUUGUGUAGCACGGUUUCGUGUACCGUGAGCACAACAGCUCGCCGGGGUACUACGACGGGAGGUACUGGACAAUGUGGAAGCUGCCCAUGUUCGGGUGCACCGACUCGUCGCAGGUGAUGAAGGAGCUCCAGGAGUGCGUCAAGGAGUACCCGACCGCUUUCGUCCGUAUCAUCGGAUUCGACAACAAGCGUCAAGUGCAGUGUAUCAGUUUCAUUGCCGCCAAGCCCCCGGGCUACUAAGGCACAAUUCGUCUAAAUCUCUCGUCAUCCAUCUACAAGGCUCAUUUUGGCUGCUGGCUUCUGGUUUUCACUCUUACGACUUGAUGCUAAGUCAAUGUUUGCCUUUUGUCAUUUGGUUUUUCCGUUUUCUUUUUCGUUUUCUCUUCAUUAUAUGUUUCUUUUUUCUUCAAUUUUCUCAUGUUUUCCCGUCGGAUGUUGAAUCGAACGGUUGAGAUCUAUUGAAGUAAUAAUAAUAUCAUUUUGCAUAUUUAUUUAUCUCCUUUCCCGCCAAG
rnacentral:lncRNA from 1 species